rnacentral:pre_miRNA from 1 species
AUUGGGGUAGCUGGGUCAAAUGGUGGUUCUGUUCCAAGCUUUCUAAGGAAUCUCCACACUGCUUUCCAAAGUGGUUGCACCAAUUGCAGUCUCACCAGCAAU